GUGAUAUAUAUUUAACGGCCGCGGUACUCUGACCGUGCAAAGGUAGCAUAAUCAUUUGCCUUAUAAUUGAAGGCUAGUAUGAAUGGUUUGACGAAAACAAUACUGUCUCUCUCUAAUUUUAUAGAACUUGAUUUUUAGGUGAAGAAGCCUAAAUAAAAUUGAAAGACAAGAAGACCCUAUCGAGCUUAAAAAAAUUUUGUUAAAAUAAAAUGACUAUAAAAGAACAUCUGUACCAAAAAAUUUUAGUUGGGGCGACUAAGGAACAUACAAAGCUUCCAUCACAGUAAUAAAGGCUUUUUAGCUAUGAUCCAAAAUCUUUGAUUAAAAGAAUUAGUUACCGUAGGGAUAACAGCAUAAUCUUUUUUGAGAGUUCUUAUCGAAAAAAAGGUUUGUGACCUCGAUGUUGGACUAGAAUAUCCUAAAUGAUGCAGAAGUC
rnacentral:rRNA from 1 species